GACCACAGAAGCCGACGCCGACCCCAAUCGCCGGUGCCCUAGCCUCUGCCCCGACUCCAGUGACGCUGAUUCUUCUCUCCUCUGUCCAGCCGAAGCCUUGUCUGCCGUAGCCCUUGCUGUGGAGUUUCCAGCGCCGCCGCUGCAACUCACAGAGCCUCCCUUUCUCUUCUCGCGGACACCUGGAGCCGCCGAAAAUCGAGCAUCCGAACCCUAGGUUGGGUCCCUGAGCGCUGGCCGGAAUUUCUCUUCUGGUGUCUCUGUUUGACAGUGCCGAAGACAAGGAGUUGUGCCCUAGUUUUGCUUUUCACAGUGGUUCUGUCUUCAUUGUGAUCUGCCCUAGCAGAAUUGGGAAGGUCACGGAUUGGUGAGGUUUGGUGUAUUGUGGGGUGUUUUUGAUUUUUGGCAGCAACCCCAUCCCGCAGCGGUAAGGACUUUGACGCGAGACGAGUAUCUCGGAGUCAGAUCGGACCUUUCUA